AUUGAACGCUGGCGGCAUGCCUUACACAUGCAAGUCGAACGGCAGCACGGGUGCUUGCCCCUGGUGGCGAGUGGCGAACGGGUGAGUAAUACAUCGGAACAUGUCCUGUAGUGGGGGAUAGCCCGGCGAAAGCCGGAUUAAUACCGCAUACGAUCCACGGAUGAAAGCGGGGGACCUUCGGGCCUCGCGCUAUAGGGUUGGCCGAUGGCUGAUAGCUAGUUGGUGGGGUAAAGGCCUACCAAGGCGACGAUCAGUAGCUGGUCUGAGAGGACGACCAGCCACACUGGGACUGAGACACGGCCCAGACUCCUACGGGAGGCAGCAGUGGGGAAUUUUGGACAAUGGGCGAAAGCCUGAUCCAGCAAUGCCGCGUGUGUGAAGAAGGCCUUCGGGUUGUAAAGCACUUUUGUCCGGAAAGAAAUCCUUGACUCUAAUACAGUCGGGGGAUGACGGUACCGGAAGAAUAAGCACCGGCUAACUACGUG
rnacentral:rRNA from 1 species